GAUGAACGCUAGCUACAGGCUUAACACAUGCAAGUCGAGGGGUAACGAGAGGAAAGCUUGCUUUCCUUCUCGACGACCGGCGCACGGGGGAGUAACGCAUAUCCAACCUGCCCCCAACUAGGGAAUAACCUUGCGAAAGUAAGACUAAUACCCUAUAAUUUCCUCAGAUGUCAUCUGACGAGGAAUAAAGAUUUCUGGGUUUUGGAUGGGGAUGCGUGUGAUUAGAUUGCUGGUGGGGUAACGGCCCACCAAGGGAACGAUCAGUAGGGGUGCUGAGAGGAAGGUCCCCCACAUUGGAACUGAGACACGGUCCAAACUCCUACGGGAGGCAGCAGUGAGGAAUAUUGGGCAAUGGGCGGAAGCAUGAACCAGCCAAGUAGCGUGCAGGAUGACGGCCCUAUGGGUUGUAAACUGCUUUUAUACAGGAAUAAAGUUAGCCACGUGUGGUUAUUUGUAGGUACUGUAUGAAUAAGGACCGGCUAAUUCCGUGCCAGCCGCCGCAGUAA
rnacentral:rRNA from 1 species